UACGAAGGGGGCUAGCGUUGCUCGGAAUCACUGGGCGUAAAGGGUGCGUAGGCGGGUCUUUAAGUCAGGGGUGAAAUCCUGGAGCUCAACUCCAGAACUGCCUUUGAUACUGAAGAUCUUGAGUUCGGGAGAGGUGAGUGGAACUGCGAGUGUAGAGGUGAAAUUCGUAGAUAUUCGCAAGAACACCAGUGGCGAAGGCGGCUUACUGGUCCGGAUCUGACGCUGAGGCGCGAAAGCGUGGGGAGCAAACAGG
rnacentral:rRNA from 1 species